rnacentral:pre_miRNA from 1 species
UGAUUGGUAGCAAGAAAAGAAACAAAAUCACGUCGAACGCAAAUUAUCUUGGCGUUUCGACUUGAUUUUGUUUCUUUUCUUGCUACCAAUCAC